rnacentral:rRNA from 1 species
AUUGAACGCUGGCGGCAGGCCUAACACAUGCAAGUCGAGCGGAUGAAGGGAGCUUGCUCCUGGAUUCAGCGGCGGACGGGUGAGUAAUGCCUAGGAAUCUGCCUGGUAGUGGGGGAUAACGUCCGGAAACGGGCGCUAAUACCGCAUACGUCCUGAGGGAGAAAGUGGGGGAUCUUCGGACCUCACGCUAUCAGAUGAGCCUAGGUCGGAUUAGCUAGUUGGUGGGGUAAAGGCCUACCAAGGCGACGAUCCGUAACUGGUCUGAGAGGAUGAUCAGUCACACUGGAACUGAGACACGGUCCAGACUCCUACGGGAGGCAGCAGUGGGGAAUAUUGGACAAUGGGCGAAAGCCUGAUCCAGCCAUGCCGCGUGUGAAGAAGGUCUUCGGAUUGUAAAGCACUUUAAGUUGGGAGGAAGGGCAGUAAGUUAAUACCUUGCUGUUUUGACGUUACCAACAGAAUAAGCACCGGCUAACUUCG